UCUCGACGCUAUGGGCUCGACGGUGUUGGCGACCGUCAGCAUCAAAUCGCAGUCUGUGUGUUUUCUCGACGGUCUUCCGGGUCGGUCUAUCCUCUCGUCUAAUACCAGCGUCGAGAAACAACAUGUCUCGCGCCUGGUCAUCUUUAGAUGCCCUCGUGUAUUUUUUGUUUAGAACCGCCCCACCCCUUUCCCCACUCCCUCACGGUUCUCACUUUCUCAAACCCUAACCUGAUAAUUUCCCUCUUUCUCCAUAUUUCGGAAGUUCCAGAUCUACAUCUCUAAUUAAGCUCUUUCAAUCCAUUUUCCUCCUUUUCAUCUCCUUGAAUGUAAUUCAAUUAAUUUCUCACUCAGUUUUCUUGCUUUUGGGAUUCCAGAUUCUCACAUAUGGAAAAUUCUCUGCCUGCCUUAAAUCUUGUUCUCAUGGCGGUCAGGUUUUGAUGAUUCGGGAAAUCAGAUGAUUCGGGUAAUCAUAUAAAAAGCAAGGGCGAUUUUUAUCCCCCUUUCUCUUAGAUCUAUUAUCCAUGGAGGUGCAUGUUUCAUAUUGUGCAAGUGCUGCUAGAAUUCAUGCCACAUUAGUGCAAAAGAAAAGCAUGUUUAUACCUACACUUAUUAGUUUGUAUUCUCCUCCCUCUAUCUCGCUAUCUCUCUUCUUUCGGUUCUUCAAUAUUCUGGGUUUGCUUUUGACAAAGGGACGAUGAAAAUGGAUGAUGUUGCUACCAUUGGUGUGACAUUCGGUUCAUUGUCUUUAUCUCUGAGCUGGAAUAUUCAUUUGCAAAAAAGGCAAGGACACUAGGCUGCUAAAGUUUGAAGGUGUUAGAAAAUUGCAAAAGCAACCGAGACAUUCCUGGGUUAUAACACUAUGGCUCCAUACAUCUGACCCUAAACCUGCCUAAGACAGAAACCUUACUAGAGGUAUCGAUGCAAUGGUAAUGACCUCAGGCAGGCUUUAAGAUUCUAGCAUUCUUGCUCAAUCAAUUUGGAGGCAAAGUACCUGGCUCAAUUCUCGAGAUUAAGAAUUUUGCGUUUACAAGAUUCAAAGCUGAAUACCACCUUUUUUGUAAGCUGGAUGUGAAUCUUCCAAAUGCAGUCAUAGUUUACAGUUCCUCAAGUUCAGUGAUGAGGAGUUUGUAGUUACUUGGUCAAGUGGAAUUACGAGAUGUUUUGGUGGACCUCAGGCAGGUAAGCAAUACACACCAACAACAUCCCCUCUCCGGAUUAAGGCGUUUGGUGUUGUUUUCAGCUGCACAGGUGCUGCUUCUUGCUGUUGCAGGGUGUGGGUUGUGCUCCUGGUGUGUGCAGGCUGUUCUGCAGGGAGUCCAGGUGCUGCAAGUCUUCAGGGAGUGUGGUGUUCGAUUGCUGCUGUGUGCAAUCUUGUGUUGUGUACCCAUUUAUUGUGUCUCCUGUGUUUGGUUGUUAGGGAGUGGUCUGUACUCCUCUAACGUUUUCUGUUGUUUCGUUGUCUAGAUGCUUUUGUUCAUACCUUUUGGUAUUAACUUUGUGUUUUGGAGAUAAAUAGCUAGCUAAUUUGAUAGUUUGUACAUGUGUAAACUUAAUUUGAUGAUAUGAUAUGAUUUGGAGCGAGCUAAGUACGUAUUAUUUCAUAUAUAUAGAUAUUAAUAUAUAAUCUUGUCAUUUA